GCGACCCCAGGUCAGGCGGGACUACCCGCUGAAUUUAAGCAUAUCAAU
rnacentral:rRNA from 1 species